GACGAACGCUGGCGGCGGGCUUAACACAUGCAAGUCGAACGGAAAGGCCCUGCUUGUGUGGGGUGCUCGAGUGGCGAACGGGUGAGUAACACGUGAGUAACCUGCCCUUGACUUUGGGAUAACUUCAGGAAACUGGGGCUAAUACCGGAUAGGAGCUCCUGCUGCAUGGUGGGGGUUGGAAAGUUUCGGCGGUUGGGGAUGGACUCGCGGCUUAUCAGCUUGUUGGUGGGGUAGUGGCUUACCAAGGCUUUGACGGGUAGCCGGCCUGAGAGGGUGACCGGCCACAGUGGGACUGAGAUACGGCCCGCACUCCUACGGGAGGCAGCAGUGGGGAAUAUUGCACGAUGGGCGGAAGCCUGAUGCAGCAACGCCGCGUGCGGGAUGACGGCCUUCGGGUUGUAAGCCGCUUUCGCCUGUGACGAAGCGUGAGUGACGGUAAUGGGUAAAGAAGCACCGGCUAACUACGUG
rnacentral:rRNA from 1 species